UACGAAGGGUGCAAGCGUUAAUCGGAAUUACUGGGCGUAAAGGGUGCGUAGGCGGUUGUUUAAGUCUGCCGUGAAAGCCCCGGGCUCAACCUGGGAAUGGCAGUGGAUACUGGCGAGCUAGAGUGUGAUAGAGGAUGGUGGAAUUCCCGGUGUAGCGGUGAAAUGCGUAGAGAUCGGGAGGAACAUCAGUGGCGAAGGCGGCCAUCUGGAUCAACACUGACGCUGAGGCACGAAAGCGUGGGGAGCAAACAGG
rnacentral:rRNA from 1 species